UUCGACAAUUUCAUUUCCUGACCGGCUGCUCGAUGGAUACUAACUGCCGACUAAUCAACGGCCGCGCUGUGUGCCCGCCAGUGCAUUUUAUCACUCCAAGAAUGCGGGACCAGGAGUCCGAUGAAUAUACAAUCCCUCAUCGUUCAACCUCGACGAGCAUAUUAAACGAUUGACAGUGAACGGACACGCGUGUUAAUCCAACCCCUGGUUACUACCCUGUUAUGCACUUGAGCAUUCACCCCUAGCAUAACCACAAACAUCAAUCUAUUCCUAGUCUCGUGAACAUUGUUCCAUUGUCCUUUCUACUCAGGUCAGCACACACACUAUUACACCCUUAAGACUACAUAGUCUAGUAUACACACUACCACCCCCUAACUACUCAGGCUAGUACUCAUACUACCCUCGCCCCACCCGCAAAACUACUUGUGCUAGACCCCCCCCCCCUUACUACUUUGGUAAGAACACCUACUACCCCUCCCCAUCCUCUUUCCCACUACUCAGAUUAACAGCCAGACAUCAACCUUCAGGAACACUAUUCCUUUCAGUAAUCAAACUUUAGAGAUCAGUAUUGUAUCGAUUGCGCUGGCCCUCCUGUUCGGGUGAGAAUGAAGAAGUUCCAUAGUCGUUGCGCCCGAGUUAGGAGGAAGACGUUGGAAACAGUUCCAAAAGAACGUUUUGAAAUGGAAACCCGUCCAGUGACCGUCCCACAGCCCCGGGCAGGCACCAAAAGGCCAACGCCACGACCGCCACCCCAAGCUAGGUCUCUGCCACAACCACCACCGCGGGCGCCUCCAGCUAGGUCUCUACCACAGCAACCACCGCGGGCGCCUCAA